CUCUCAACUCUCACUCUCGCUAUAUCUCCCUUCCGCUGCACUCACCCACCCCCGGCUCUGUUAGUCUGUUACGUUCUCUCCGGCUCCCCGCCUCUCACCUAGUCACCAUUCUAGCCCUCUCAGCCUCACCAUCUCCGGCUCUCUGUCCUCUAAGUUGUACGGUGACUGCUUCUCCGCAUCUCCGUGGAACCGUAAUCCCGUCUGUCAACGGUACUCCGCCAUCCACAAAUGUGCUCCAUCAAGAUUUAAAGCCAAAGAACAUUCUAGCUAAUGCAGAUUGCAAAUUGAAACUCUGUGAUUUUGGGCUUGCUCAGGUGUCAUUUGGGGAUGCUCCAUCUGCUGUUUUUUGGACUGUAUGUGUUUCCUCUCCUUUAAAGUUUCUGAGUAUAGUUUUAUUCAAUUGCAAUUCAUGCACAUAAGCAAUGUAAUUAUAUUCCAAGUGUUUACAAUUCUAAUUUCCUGGGUUAUGCUAAGGCGUAUUCCUUUUUGAAGGAUAAGUCAAGUAAGAUAUGCACCCUAAUAGACAUAAUGAUAUUAAAGAAUUAUGUUCUGGACUCAACUUUAUUCACUGUUGUAUGUUUCCUCUUGUAGUGUAUGGAAAUUGAUCCUUUAUCUUUUUAAUGGUUGUUUGACAUGCCUUCUCAGUUCUAAAUUACGUGCUUAAAAAUGUGUAUGUGUUGCAAUUGUUGCCUAUGAAUUGUGCGUUUCCUCUUGCAGUGGAAAUUGAUCAUUUAUCUUUUUAAUGGUUGUUUGACAUGCCUUCUCAGUUCUAAAUUACGUGCUUAAAAAUGUGUAUGUGUUGCAAUUGUUGCCUAUGAAUUGUGUGUCCUCUUGCAGUGUAUGGAAAUUGAUCCUUUAUCUUUUUAAUGGUAAUGUGUAUGUGUUGCAAUUGUUGCCUAUGAACUCAUUGCUAUAUAUCAGCCUAUAUAAUAAUUGCUUGCCCGUGAUGAUAAUUAUUAUUACCAGGUAUAAUCACACUUUUUCUUGAAACUGCAUAUAUAUUGAAACUUUAAUUUUACUUGAUUGUAUACAGAUACAAAUAUAUAAACAGACAUACAUAAAUAGUAAUCUUACAUGUUCAUCAUGGAAAAAACAUUCCUUCUCUUGCUUGUUGUCCUUCAUUGCAGUUCAGGGAUUUAAUAAGUUCGGACCAACCAGACUCUUAUUGCUCUCCUCGUGUGAAAAGGGCUAACCUCAAAGGCAAGAAGAUAUUGUGAGGACAUUUUUACAGUAGAUUUCGCAGGGUUAAUUUGAGAGCAUUUCGUUUGUGGAGUACAAUGCCUGAUUACAUCACUAUUUAUAGUAUGUUUUAUAACCUGUAUAUCUGUAUAAUUAAAUGCUCGUUAUUAAUACCAUUGGAGAUUGAAGAGGCAUCAUGCGGAAUUAAAUUGUGAGACUCUGAGUAUUCUCCACUAAAUGUACCUUAAAGGAUUUUUUUUUGGAAAACUGAUCUAAAUUAUCG